CCGGCCCCCCACCGGCGCUCGCAAAGUUCGGAUCCGCAAGGACCGGGCCAGCGGGACUUCCGCGUGGCAGGGUGCACUUUUUCGGCGGUCGAGUGCUACGACCGGUUUCGAGGCGGUCAGAAGCCCGGCGGAAAGGUAGCGCCGCCCUUCGGGGUGUCGUGUUAUAGGCCGCCGCGGUGGACUCGCCGCGAGACCGAGGACGCUUGCCGCGCCGAGCGGUCCCGGGCCGUCUUGGGAGGUUCGACCUCGGCUGCACUGCUCCGCAGAGCACCGUAACCGCCGCCCUAGCACGGGUCCGGAGACUGCCGGCGCCUCGGGUCAGUAGCG
rnacentral:rRNA from 1 species